UAGCAUGUUCUAUGCAAAGAAAGAUUCUGCAUCUCAGUGUCUUCUCCUCCACAUGCAGGCUUAUGGACUUCAUGGACUGGGUGGCUGAGCUGAGGGGAACAAAGUUUGUGCCCCUGCCUCUCUACUCCCAUAACCAGAAACCAUCCCACAAAAGAGUGAGAGACAGCUGGAGGGAUUUGCUGACUAAAAGCAGGCUUCAGUUGAUUCCUGAGGAUCAAGAGGACUCAGAGCUGGACCCCAGAAUGGCCUCAGUCAACCAGGCCAGCGUCUUACUCUGAGGACCCCAAAACGGCCUCAGUCCACCAGGCCAGCUUCUACCUCUGAAGACCCCAGAAUGGCCUGAAUCCACCAGGCCAACUUCUACCUCUGAAGAUCCCUGCAGUGUCCCUUUUCUUACCUUGAUCUGCUCAGAGGCUCUACACAACAUACAUAACUUGAUAUUAAACCAUCUUAUUAACCCCAAGAAUGGCCCUGUAUUGCUGUAUAAUGGACCAGCAGUUCUUGUAACUGUUUAAAUGCACUUUACUUUUUUUUCUUCUCUUUGUUUGUUUUUACCAAAGGUGAAAAAGCUGAAGCCCUGAGAUAGAGACAGGAGGAACAGACCAAAGCUUUCAUCCCACCCAAAGAGAAACCUGUAGUGAAGGAGGCCAAGAAAGACAUAACAGAAUCUAAAAUUGACAGACAAAUCAAAGACAAAGUGCAAAAAGCUAAGAACAAGAAGCUUGGUGCACCCCCCAUGCCUCAGCCCAGACCCUCAGAUGAAAAGAAGAAGAACAACAACAAAGGAUAAGCUUCCUGUAAUGGAGACCAUUAUUUUCAGUCG